AGAGUUUGAUCCUGGCUCAGGAUGAACGCUAGCGGGAGGCCUAAUACAUGCAAGUCGAACGCUCUGAUUUCGGUCAGGGAGUGGCGCACGGGUGAGUAACACGUACGCAAUCUGCCUUGUGCAGGAGGAUAGCCCUGGGAAACUGGGCGUAAUACUCCAUGGUAUUGUCCAAUUGCAUGAUUGGAUAAUUAAAGCUACGGCGGCACGAGAUGAGCGUGCGUCUGAUUAGGUAGUUGGUGAGGUAACGGCUCACCAAGCCGACGAUCAGUAAGGGGCGUGAGAGCGUGGCCCCUCACACGGGUACUGAGACACGGACCCGACUCCUACGGGAGGCAGCAGUAAGGAAUAUUGGACAAUGGGCGGAAGCCUGAUCCAGCCAUCCCGCGUGCAGGAUGACGGCCCUAUGGGUUGUAAACUGCUUUAGACUGGAAAGAAAGUUGCGGAUUUAUCUGUAAUCGACGGUACCAGUAGAAUAAGCACCGGCUAACUCCGUGCCAGCAGCCGCGGUAAUACGGAGGGUGCAAGCGUUAUCCGGAAUUACUGGGUUUAAAGGGUGCGUAGGCUGCUAUGUAAGUCAGAGGUGAAAGCCCGCCGCUUAACGGUGGAAUUGCCUUUGAUACUGCAUAGCUUGAAACAGGUUGAGGUUGGCGGAAUGUGACAUGUAGCGGUGAAAUGCAUAGAUAUGUCAUA
rnacentral:rRNA from 1 species